UACAACCAUAUCACUGCGAAACACCAGUUCUCGUGUGAUCAUUGAAGUUAAGCAACGUUGAGCCUGGUCAGUACCUGGAUGGGUGAUCGCUUGGGACUACCAAGUGUU